CGAGUGGCGGACGGGUGAGUAACGCGUGGAUAACCUGCCUCACACAGGGGGACAACAGCUGGAAACGGCUGCUAAUACCGCAUAACACAAGCAAUCCGCAUGGAUAGUUUGUCAAAGAUUUUAUCGGUGUGAGAUGGAUCCGCGUCUGAUUAGCCAGUUGGCGGGGUAACGGCCCACCAAAGCGACGAUCAGUAGCCGACCUGAGAGGGUGACCGGCCACAUUGGGACUGAGACACGGCCCAAACUCC
rnacentral:rRNA from 1 species